AACGAACGCUGGCGGCAGGCCUAACACAUGCAAGUCGAGCGAAGCCUUCGGGUUUAGCGGCGGACGGGUGAGUAACGCGUGGGGAUAUGCCCUUUGGUACGGAACAGUCCCGGGAAACUGGGUUUAAUACCGUAUGUGGUCCUUCGUAGUGGAUACGGGGGACGAAAGAUUUAUCGCCAAAGGAUUAGCCCGCGUUGGAUUAGGUAGUUGGUGGGUAACGGCCUACCAAGCCGACGAUCCAUAGCUGGUUUGAGAGGAUGAUCAGCCACACUGGGACUGAGACACGGCCCAGACUCCUACGGGAGGCAGCAGUGGGGAAUCUUAGACAAUGGGGGCAACCCUGAUCUAGCCAUGCCGCGUGAGUGAUGAAGGCCUUAGGGUUGUAAAGCUCUUUCAGCUGGGAAGAUAAUGACGGUACCAGCAGAAGAAGCCCCGGCUAACUCCGUG
rnacentral:rRNA from 1 species